AGAGAGAGACAUGCGCGCAUAUCAAUAAGCGGAGGAAAAGAAACUAACAAGGAUUCCCCUAGUAACGGCGAGUGAAGCGGGAAGAGCUCAAAUUUGAAAUCUUAAAGGGUUUCCCUUUACGAAUUGUAGUUUAAAGAAGUGUUUUCUGUUGAGGUUUUGGUAAAAGUUCUUUGGAAUAGGACAUCAUAGAGGGUGAGAAUCCCGUAUUUGACCUUUACUUUCAACUUUGUGAUACACUUUCAAAGAGUCGGAUUGUUUGGGAGUGCAGACCAAAAUGGGUGGUAAAUUUCAUCUAAAGCUAAAUAUUGGCGAGAGACCGAUAGCGAACAAGUACCGUGAGGGAAAGAUGAAAAGAACUUUGAAAAGAGAGUUAAACAGUACGUGAAAUUGUCAAAAGGGAAGCGUUUGACACCAGUGUUGUUUUUCUGAAAAUCAAUUAAAGAACUGUUUAUGCUAAGUUGUUUAGACUUUAUCAGCUAACUGUUUAGUUUUGAGCUUUUCUUUAAUGCACUUUUCAGUUAACAAGUCAACAUCAAUUUCUUUUGCUGUAAAAAAGCUUGAGGAGGGUGGCUUGAGAUUCGUCUUAAGUGUUUAUAGCCUCUUGCCUAUGCAGUCGGAGAGAUUGAGGUCUGCAGCGUAGAUCCUUCGGGGCUAAAUGCAUUUGUGCUAAGUUAUAGCAUUUUAUAGGCAACUUGUUGACUAUGAUUUGUCUUGUAGCUUACUCGAUUAUGUUAUUUUACCUACGCUUAGGAUGUUGACGCAUGAGAUAUACGC
rnacentral:rRNA from 1 species